ensembl:misc_RNA Gm27599 predicted gene, 27599
AACUUAAGCAAACCUGCAGACUGGUAAGCAAACACACACACUUCAGUUGACCCGGGCAAGGUUCUAGUAGGAAGUACUAUGUGAUUUUUUUUUUUUUCACACUCAGAACAUAAGUGUCAAUGCUCUCGCUAUGAAGAGGAGUCACAGGAUUGGCUGGGGUGGUGAAAGCGAA